rnacentral:rRNA from 1 species
GUCUACUUGAACUUCGGUUUGGGUGGCGGACGGGUGAGUAACGCGUAAAGAACUUGCCUCACAGUUUGGGACAACAUUUGGAAACGAAUGCUAAUACCGGAUAUUAUGAUUGAGUGGCAUCACUUGAUUAUGAAAGCUAUAUGCGCUGUGAGAGAGCUUUGCGUCCCAUUAGCUAGUUGGAGAGGUAACGGCUCACCAAGGCGAUGAUGGGUAGCCGGCCUGAGAGGGUGAACGGCCACAAGGGGACUGAGACACGGCCCUUACUCCUACGGGAGGCAGCAGUGGGGAAUAUUGGACAAUGGACCAAAAGUCUGAUCCAGCAAUUCUGUGUGCACGAUGAAGUUUUUCGGAAUGUAAAGUGCUUUCAGUUGGGAAGAAGAAAGUGACGGUACCAACAGAAGAAGUGACGGCUAAAUACGUGCCAGCAGCCGCGGUAAUACGUAUGUCACAAGCGUUAUCCGGAUUUAUUGGGCGUAAAGCGCGUCUAGGCGGUUAAUUAAGUCUGAUGUGAAAAUGCGGGGCUCAACUCCGUAUUGCGUUGGAAACUGGUUAACUAGAGUACUGGAGAGGUAAGCGGAACUACAAGUGUAGAGGUGAAGUUCGUAGAUAUUUGUAGGAAUGCCGAUGGGGAAGCCAGCUUACUGGACAGAUACUGACGCUAAAGCGCGAAAGCGUGGGUAGCAAACAGGAUUAGAUACCCUGGUAGUCCACGCCGUAAACGAUGAUUACUAGGUGUUGGGGGUCGAACCUCAGCGCCCAAGCUAACGCGAUAAGUAAUCCGCCUGGGGAGUACGUACGCAAGUAUGAAACUCAAAGGAAUUGACGGGGACCCGCACAAGCGGUGGAGCAUGUGGUUUAAUUCGACGCAACGCGAGGAACCUUACCAGCGUUUGACAUCUUAGGAAUGACGUAGAGAUAUGUCAGUGUCCCUUCGGGGAAACCUAAAGACAGGUGGUG